GACGAACGCUGGCGGCGUGCCUAAUACAUGCAAGUCGAACGGUGAAGGAGGACCUUGCUCUUCUGGAUGAGUUGCGAACGGGUGAGUAACGCGUAGGUAACCUGCCUGGUAGCGGGGGAUAACUAUUGGAAACGAUAGCUAAUACCGCAUAAGAGUAGAUGUUGCAUGGCAUUUACUUAAAAGUUUCAAUUGCAUCACUACCAGAUGGACCUGCGUUGUAUUAGCUAGUUGGUGGGGUAACGCCUUACCAAGGCGACGAUACAUAGCCGCCCGGCGAGGGGGAUCGGCCACACUGGGAGUGAGACACGGCCCAGACUCCUACGGGAGGCAGCAGUAGGGAAUCGUCGGCAAGGGACGGAAGUCUGACCGAGAAACGCCGAGGGAGUGAAGAAUGUUUUCGGAUCGUAAAGCUCUGUUGUAAGGGAAGAAAGAGGGUGAGAGUGGAAAGUUCACACUGUGACGGUAUCUUAUCAGAAAGGGACGGCUAACUACGUG
rnacentral:rRNA from 1 species